rnacentral:rRNA from 1 species
UACAGAGGGGGCAAGCGUUAUUCGGAAUUAUUGGGCGUAAAGGGCGCGUAGGCGGCUUUGCAAGUGACGGGUGAAAUCCCUCGGCUUAACCGGGGAACUGCGUCUGAUACUGGAUGGCUUGAGUUUGGGAGAGGGAUGCGGAAUUCCAGGUGUAGCGGUGAAAUGCGUAGAUAUCUGGAGGAACACCGGUGGCGAAGGCGGCAUCCUGGACCAACACUGACGCUGAGUGAGCGAAAGCCAGGGGAGCAAACGGG